ACGAACGCUGGCGGCGUGCUUAACACAUGCAAGUCGAACGGUGAACUCCGCUUGCGGGGGGAUCAGUGGCGAACGGGUGAGUAACACGUGGGCAACCUGCCCUCAGCUCUGGGAUAACUCCAAGAAAUUGGGGCUAAUACCGGAUAUGACCGCUGACCGCAUGGUCUGGUGGUGGAAAGAUUUAUCGGCUGGGGAUGGGCCCGCGGCCUAUCAGCUUGUUGGUGGGGUAGUGGCCUACCAAGGCGACGACGGGUAGCCGGCCUGAGAGGGUGACCGGCCACACUAGGACUGAGACACGGCCCAGACUCCUACGGGAGGCAGCAGUGGGGAAUAUUGCGCAAUGGGCGAAAGCCUGACGCAGCGACGCCGCGUGGGGGAUGACGGCCUUCGGGUUGUAAACCUCUUUCAGCAGGGACGAAGCGAAAGUGACGGUACCUGCAGAAGAAGCACCGGCCAACUACGUG
rnacentral:rRNA from 1 species